UUUGAAGUGAAACUAAAAUCACCGUAUUUGCUGUGUAUAUAUCUGGCCGAACAGCCGUUGUUUACCUCGGUGUCUUUUCACCAAGCGGUCGGCUUAUCUGUCGAGUGCGAAUUUAUUUUUAAUGACUGAAUUCCUGCUCCAUCUCUUUACGGGUAACUUUAGAAAAGACAUCGGGGAUUGCUUUUCUACAUCAGCUUCUGCCAUGCACGGGCUCUUCGCUGAAAGCUGCCAAAGCUGUUCGUUAACACAAGGCAGCUGAGAGGAGCUAACUACAGAAGAAAGACGACCAUUUGAUGGAAGAAAAGAAAAAGAAAAAACAAGAAGAAAAGACCAGCAAGGACGCUCAGAAUAAGGCUCCUGAUCAGAAACCCAAAGGUAAGUGUUUUGAUAAAGCAAAAUAUAAUUAACGUUUCAUUUGCAUUAUUUUGUUAAGCCCAUUUAGCAGCUGACCUAUUUUUGUCAGCUCAGAUUAAUGCAUGUACACAUUACUCGUGCACUGUAGUCAAGUAGCAUUUAGCUAUCUUGUACAACAUGAAACACACAUGCACAUUUAGCAAAUGUUUGCAAGAUUAUGCCCUUUAUAACACACAUCUACGAGUACAGCAGAUCAGGUAAAGGAUUGUGAUGCAGUGUGACACCCAGUUUACCUGUAGUACCAGGCUGUAAAGUAUGAAGGUCAUCCUGAUUGUGUAGAUAAAAUAUGGGAAAGUAUAUGACAGGACUGUACUUCCAUGUUAUCUUUAUUGUGUCUACCAUCAAACCUGACAAAUUUAUCUCGUUCUAUUAAUGUGAAUUAUGCAUUUAACUCUUUUGGGUCCAGAGGUAUUUUCUAGAUUUUACUAUACUUUCA